rnacentral:tRNA from 1 species
UCCCUGGUGGUCCAGUGGCUAAGACUCUGAGCUUCCAAUGCAGGAGGCUCAGGUUCGAUUUCUGGUCAGGGAA